UGAGAUGAUACAAAUCCCCUCGGAAAUGGUACUGCCUCUGUGCGCAUGCGUGUGCGUGCGUGCGCGCGUUUGCGUGUGCGCGCACGGAGGCCCCUCAUCUUACGCCGUCAUUUGCAUUUGUGGCGGGGAGAGGUCAGCUGCCUGGCUGUGCCCAAGCCUGCCCGGGAAUUGAGCAGCCAGUGUGACGUUGGUUCCUUGUCAGCAGUCCCCAGAGAGGAAGGCUGAGGGCAGACGACAAAGUCCAAGUAUCAGUCCUCCAGUGCCCCGGACCUCCAGCCUGUCCUCAGGCUGCUGUAAUAGACAAUUGUUUGCCAACAUUGAUAAAAAACAGCAGAGAUGGAUAUAAAUAAGCAACAGCAGGAACUAAAAAUGGACCCCAGCUACAACAAGAGGAAAAUGGAAGAAUAAAUGGUGACUUUGGGAAGAACAUGCACAUCAAAAUUUCCACC